GGUAGGGCAGGCUUAGAAAAGGGAGAAUCUGCUGCCAGAGAGGCCAGAUGCCAUGAGUCCAAAGGAAUCAUCCCGCCCCCAGCAGACAAGCGUGGAGCCAGCCUGCUCCUCUGGCCAAAGCAUUCCACCCCCGGACCUCUCCUCCAGGUACUUCCUGUCCAGACGGGCAGUGGCCCCAGAGCCUGGGAAACCUGCCCCACAGGUGAGGGCAAGGGGUGUGUCUGAAGUGGGUGAGAGGCUGGUAUGAGCCUUGGUUGCUGCUCUGGAAACAGGAAGAAGAGAUGUGGAAGAAGAGAUGUGGGUAUGGUGGAUUCUGACCCUUGGCUCCCCAAAGUUCCACAGAGCCCAGCUCCCACUGAAGGCAUAUGACCCAGAUCCUGAGAACCAGAUGCACCGGCCUGAGCUUUCGUCAGAAGCAAGGACACACAGAACCUUUCUUAGAGGCAUCAUUAGAGGACCGGACAUGGUGGCCAGAGGCUGCAGGGACAGAAGUCCCAGGGCCAUGUCCAGGAACUGGGCUCAGGGGACCUCCUGGUGCCACCUGCAUAUCUGAGCCCAUGGAGUUCCUCUGGUCUAUUCAGUUCUCUCAUUUUAACUUAAUUUUGUUUUUGUAGGCUUUCUUAAAAAAUUGCCCAGUUCAUUUACCUGAUCACGUUUAUUGUUCAGAGUUGAGUGUGGUUCUCUCGUAAUUAUUUAGUCUCCACUGGGUCUGUGAUUAUAUUUCCUUUCUUAUUGCUAAUGCUGUUUGUGUUUGAUUUUCUUCUUUUUUUUCUUGGCCUGACUUAAAGAGGUUUGUCUGUUUUAUCUUUAUUUUAAAAAUAACCAACUGUUUAUUUUUACUUCUCCACUGUGAUUUCCCCCUUUAUUUCUUUAAUGUUUGAGUUUAUAUUUUUUCCUAUUUAUUUUGGCUUAAAUUUUAUUAUCAUUUUGCUAUAUCCUUGUGUCAAGCGCUUAAUUCAAUUAUUUUGUUAUUUUGACUUCUAAAAAAUCAGUUAAUUCUAUAAGUUUUCCUCUAUGUACUACAUUGAGCAAACUCCACAGAUUUCUGUAGGGGGCAUACUAAUUGUAAUUCAAUUUCGUUUUCCAUGUGUAGGUCCAGAUUUAUUUGAAUGUCCAAAUACUUAGAAUUGUAGGCUCUUGUUUUGUUAUUAAAGUCUGGUUUUAUUACAUUGUGUUUAGAGAAAAUAAUAUGGAGGAUUUUAAUUUUAGAUAAAGCAUUAAUAUCUU
rnacentral:lncRNA from 1 species